ACGACAGACAGAGCCUGUAACUCCAUUGUUCACACCCCAACAACAGUAAACAAAUCCAAGACAACCAGUAACACAACUAUGCAGGUGCUAAAGGUUCUCUUUGACAGAGUGCAUACCAGCUGUACUCAUUAACAAUACAGAUAUUCAGACAAGAUUUGGUAGAUGAAUGGGUUCAAGUUCUUACACUACUAAACUCUCUCUGCUCAGCGAUAAAGGUCAUGCUAAGUGAAAAAGGAAGAAAGGAUCAAACAAAGGAAACAAAGAGGGAACCCUUAACAGUAGUGUGAUACAAAUCAACCUUCUACAUCUUCCACUCAAAUAUGUGUCGAUGGGGUUGUAGCACUGCGGACACAACCUACAUGUGCAAAUGGUGUGGAACUCGUUACUGUAAAGAAUGUGGUAGAGGAGAUUUUAUCGGCCUUAUGUAUGCUCCAGACUGGUGCAGAAAAUGUUUCCAG